rnacentral:rRNA from 1 species
AAAUUGAAGAGUUUGAUCAUGGCUCAGAUUGAACGCUGGCGGCAGGCCUAACACAUGCAAGUCGAACGGUAACAGGAAGCAGCUUGCUGCUUUGCUGACGAGUGGCGGACGGGUGAGUAAUGUCUGGGAAACUGCCCGAUGGAGGGGGAUAACUACUGGAAACGGUAGCUAAUACCGCAUAACGUCGCAAGACCAAAGAGGGGGAGCUUAGGGCCUCUUGCCAUCGGAUGUGCCCAGAUGGGAUUAGCUAGUAGGUGGGGUAA